rnacentral:lncRNA from 1 species
GUUCAUCUCCUUUAGCACCGGACAGCGGGGAUGCAUCGCGGCAUCACUAGGAACAACCAUGAGUGUCAUGCUCUUUGGCAGGCUCCUGCAUGGCUUCACCUGGACCAAACCGGCUGGGGUGUCGGCCAUCAAUCUCAGCGAGUCCAAGCACGACCUUUUCAUAGAGAAGCCGCUAGUGCUACAUGCUAAGCCACGUCUUCCAGUGCACCUCUACUCUCUCAUGCAUUGUUGAGCAAAUAACGAGCUAUGAAUCACCGAUAUGGCGAGUACGCUAGCUAUUUUUUUGAUGAAUCUAUACUUACUAAUAAAGGAAGGAAAUAUUCUUUUUUUCGUCUCGCUUUGUUUCGUUCCACUUCGAUUGAUUUUCACGUAUGCUAGCUAUUUUGGUUUUGUCUGUUGCACGUACGAGCGAGCCGGUUUCUUUCAUGCGCCGCUGGAUCGUCCUAGGCUUGUCCAAAGCAUUGGAACAGUACGUGAUAGGCAAACAACCACCCAUCUAGUAUUAAUUUUGGACAAAUAGAGAUUAAAUGUAUACAAGAUGAUGCUCUUUAUAUCACCAACGAAGGAUGAAAGUAGGUCGGCGCAUAUAGGGCAACUCCAUUUGAGUUGUUUCUUCCGGCCCAAGUCCCAGGCGGGGCAGCAUAGCAGCCUAUAAUAGUCUUUCUAUUUUGGUUCAUCAAUUAAAUAGUACCACAUAGUUUUCUUACUUUUAAUCCCACAUAGUUUUCUUACUUUUAAUCCUACAAGUUUAUAUACGCUAGCAUUAAAAAACUCAGAGAGUGAGGUAUGCAAUGAGGAUGCACAUUUCGAGGGUGAUCAGAUCUGAGAUUAUAGGCCAAUGAAAGCAAUACAGACACGAUUAAAGAUCUGUGAUUAUGGGCCAAUGGAACUAGUGAAAACCCAACUAAAUAUCUGAGAUUGUAGGCCAAUGAAAGAAAUGAAGACCCGAUUAAAGAUUCAAGACUAUUAUGGGCCAAUGGAAGAAAUAAAGACGUGAUUAAACUUGCAAACUCAUGCCGAUGUGCAUGGUGCAUAAUUGAAGGACUCGUGGGCUAAAUCAUUAUAAUUUACACGAAAGGCGAGAAGCAGAUGGGUGGGGUAGACCGAGAAGGCAUUUAAGGACGAGGAGGAACUCGCAAUUUUCACACUUGACGCAUACGACCAGCUCGUUGCCACACUCACGAAACAUGAAAUCAUGGGUGAUGACACGCCGAGGUGUCCACCAAAGCCCGUGCCACCAGGGAGAUACCUCUCUCUCUACGGAUUUUUUAUUUCUUGCAAUUAAUUUUGAUGAUAAAGACUAAUGUUUGUCCCGCGUUGCAACACACGGGCAUAUGUGCUAGUAAAUCAAAAGGAAAAAAAAACUGAAAUAAAAAUUAAAAAUAAAAACCUCAAGGAAAAAAACCCAACAAAAAGCCCAAGAAAUACCGGAAUGGAAUCAAACCUUGGAAGAAAAAACCACAAAAUCAGCACAACAAAUGCCGAACCAAAUACAACGAAAGCAACAGAAUAAAAAGGGAGCAACUAGUUGACGAGGGCUCCUUCGGGAGCCUCGCAACGAUCAGCGCCACUUGGCGCGCUCUCAGCCGCCCUGCCACAUGUCGCGCUCUAGACGCUCCUUUCGUAUUUUAAUAUUUUUCGCACGCGUUUUCGGCUUUUUAAAUGGUUUAUUUGGGGGUUUUUUCGACGUUUUGGUUUUCCGCAGCUUUUAGGCCAAAAAACUCAAAAAACAAUUGCGUGAAAAAGCACAUUUUUUUCUUCCGCGAGAGGCACGGUUUUGCUUCCGUGAGAGGCACGGUUGUGCUUUCGCGAGAGGCACAGUUUUGCUUCCGCGAGAGGCACGGUUGUGCUUUCGCGAGAGGCACAGCCGUGCCUCUCGAAAACGAAAAAAAUGCAUUUUCUGGUUUUUUUUCCUUCCGCGAGAGAAACGAUUUUGCUUCCGCGAGAGACACGGUUGUGAUUUUGCGAGAGGCACGGCCGUGCCUCUUUCAAAAAGGAAAAAACGCAUUUUUUUUGUUUUUUUCCUUCCGUGAGAGGCAUUGUUUUGCUUCCCCGAGAGGCACGGUUUUGCUUCCCCGAGAGGCACGGUUGUGAUUCCGGUAGAGGCACGACCAUGCCUCUUUCGAAAAGGGAAAAAACCAUGCUCUUGGUUCGGUUUUUUCGUCCUGUUUAUUCAUGAAGAAAAAGUUCGUUAAAACCUAUCAACAUGGUAUCUAGUUUUUAAGAUCUCGACGCAAGGAAUCGAACGGUGAAAACGGUUCGAGAUUUGGAUGCACGGUUUAAGAGAUAAAAUGUUUUCAAUAAACGGAUCUACAAAAAAAGAGAAAACUCACAUGUUGUGACAAAUGAUGCGUGCCAUUUGUCACAACCUGAGAAGGCGGUUGACACGAUAAACUCAAUUGGCAUUAAUGAUAGAGAUAGGGUAAGUGUCAUGUCUUUAUGUUCCUUCCAUGUUCAUGCUUCUUUUUUGGUGUUUCAAGUGCUAACUUGUUCUUUUGUUUGUAGGUCACUAUUGCAUAAAACUUAUUUCAAGGAGAAGAGAAGAAGACCAAGAAAAGGAAGGUCAAGAAAGGGAGACCAUUUGUGUUGGCCCGUUGCUACAAUGUGUUGAAGGAUGAAGAGAAAUGGAAGGCCCAUGAUGACCAAGAGGAGAGCAAGAAAAGCAAGGCAACUAUUGAUUUGGAUGAUGAGGAGGAGGAGGAGGCAUCUAGUGAUGGCGGCAGGAGAAGCCCUACACCAAACUCGGUUGCCUAGUCCGAACCAAAGAGACCAAAUGGAGGCAAGAAAGAUGCAAAAGAAAAGAAGAAGAAGAAGAAGAAGAAGAAAAAGAAGAAGAAGAAGAAGAAGAAGAAGAAGAAGAAGAAGAAGAAGAAGAAGAAGAAGAAGAAGAAGAAGAAGAAGAAGAAGAAGAAGAAGAAGAAGGAAGCAAACGAGGUGAGGAUGAUGACAAGGAGCCAAGAUGCGGCGGCCGAGGAGAGGAGGGUGGAUGCCGAGGAGAGGAAGGUGGCAUUGGAGGAGAAGAAAUUGGCCAUGGAGGAGCAAUCUAGAUUAUUGAAAUGGGAGAAGCACUUGUUCUUUAUGGACAGAUCUAAACUCGAUGAUAGGCAAAAGGAGUACGUCAUUCUUUCCCCUGAAGAAGUCUUGGUCCAAAAAAGAGCCAUGGCCAUGGGUGGCAUGGGUGGCUUUGGAGCUACCAUGGGAGGAAUGGGAGCACCUACGGGAGGCAUGGGUGGCUUCAGACAUACCAUGGGCGGCUGGGAGGCAUGGGUGUCUUCGGAGCUACCAUGGGAGGCAUGGGUGGCUUUAGAGCUACCAUGGGAGGCAUGAGUUUUGGGUCUCUCAUGAGAGGCACGGGUGCACAUCCGGGUGACAUGGGUGGACGCAUGUCUUCCGGUGUGCCUCACAUACCUUCGCUUUUUCCCAUUGGAGAUCUUAUGAACACCAUCCGAGCUCCCGAUGACGAUGCGGCGCUUGAAAAUGAAGAGGAGGAAGAAUCAUCUUCGGAUGAGGAGGAAGAAUCGGAGGAAGAAGAGGACGAUGAUGAGUGAUGUGGCAUGAUUGUUGAUGUGCCAUUUGUUUGUGCAAACUUUUAUUUGUCAUGAACUUGGUUGGGUGAUUUUGAACUAUGACAUGCAAGUGAACUAUGCUAUGUCUUUGUUUUGCACAUUUGUUUAAUGAUUGAAACAUCAUCAUAUAUACUGUCAAAUGGGCAUGUUAAAAUCAUAUUUGCAAGCGCCGGCUGCUCACACGCUCGGUAAAUUAGCGCGCCUUCUGGAGCUGCUCGCGCGUGCCAUAUUUUACUGCGGCUGCUGGAGCCAGCGCCUUGCUUCACGCAAUAAACGCCAUUUUGACGUUGUAAAAAAGUUUGUGCGGGUCGUGCGGUUGCGCACCUGUUAAAGAUGCUCUUAGAAUCGUGUUUUUACGGCGCCUAUGUGAUGCCCUAUUCUGCAAGAACUUGGAGUUGCGGUCGCCCCUCCGGCCGAUGCAUCACUUCUUCCCUGUCGUAGAGCUCAUGCAGGUCUUUUUCAAGCCACACCGAACCGAAGUCAGUACGUACGUGCCCAGUUCUGCACGUGCUUGGACACAUCUUUUAACCUGCUAGAAGGAGGCCCAUGAGUCCACUCUUGCCUGCGUCGUGCAUGCAUGUCCCNNNNNNNNNNNNNNNNNNNNNNNNNNNNNNNNNNNNNNNNNNNNNNNNNNNNNNNNNNNNNNNNNNNNNNNNNNNNNNNNNNNNNNNNNNNNNNNNNNNNNNNNNNNNNNNNNNNNNNNNNNNNNNNNNNNNNNNNNNNNNNNNNNNNNNNNNNNNNNNNNNNNNNNNNNNNNNNNNNNNNNNNNNNNNNNNNNNNNNNNNNNNNNNNNNNNNNNNNNNNNNNNNNNNNNNNNNNNNGGGCUCCCCGUUUUGCGGUUUAUUUUGCCACCGGUUUUCGAAAGGUUCUAGAACCUUCCCAAAACCGGUUUUUUGGUUUUUUAUGUUUUCUAUAUUAGUUUUCCGUUUUUAUUUUCUUUUAAAUGUUUACUUUCUUUUCUUAUUUUUUCUCUCAUUUUUUCUUUCUUUUUCCUUUUUCCUUUUCUUCUUUUUUUCUUUUACUUUUUACUUUCUUCAGUUUUUGACUAUUUUUGGCAAUUUUUAUUUUUGAAUUCGUUAACACCUUUUUUUCAUCGAAUUCUAGAAAUUUUCAACCAUGUAAAAAAAUGGUCAACAAUCCAGAAAAUGUUCAUCUAAUUCAAUUUUUUGUUCAUCAGAUUUAGAAAAUGUUCAUAAAAAUUCAAAAUUUGUUCAUCGAACUAAAAAAAUGUUCAUCGGAUUCUUUUUUUGUUCAUUGUUUUCAAAAAAUGUUCAUCACAUUCAAAAAAAAUUCACUAAAUUACAAAUCUGUUCAUCAAAUUCAAAUCUUGUUCAUAAUUUUUUCAAAAAAUUUCUUGAAUACAAAUUUUGUUCAUCAAAUAAAAAAUAUGUUCAUAAAAUGCCAAAUUUGUUUAUCGAUGUUCAAAAUAUGUUCAUCAAAUUCAAAAACAUGUACAUUCCUUCGAAAUAACGAACAUUUUUUGAAUUCAAGAAAUGUUUUGGAAUUUGGUGAACAUUUUUUAAUUCUGUCAGCAUUUAUCAUUUCACGAACAUUUUUUUCAAAUCAUCAACAAUUUUUUGAAUUCAUGUACAUUUCACAAGUUGUAGCUAUAUUGAAAUCCCGAAUUAGUCUUACAAUGGAAAACAAUUUAAAAAAAGCAAAAAAAAGAUGCUUCGGCUUUCCCUACCCACACAUGGGCUAGCCCAUAAGGCGGCGCGGGGGAGCGGGGGUUACGCGCUCCAUCGUUCGUUGGCGCAUACAGCGCUAAAUGGGAGGUCUCGAUGUAGCAUCUCAUUGAAUCCCGGACAUGGUCCAACCAUCUCUUCAAACCGAAAGCUGCCCAUAUGGUUCAUCAUCCUGGCGUCUGAAAUACUUUUGGAAAGACAAUUAUGGUUAGUUUUCGGAUAAGUACUCUCGAUAAUCUACAAAUAGGAGAUGUUUUAUUGUAUUUUGAUAACUUUUGGAUAGACAAUCAUUACUAUUAAUAUCAUCCUUCAUAUCUAGAUAAAGUAAGACAAUCUAUAAAUAGAAGAUUUUUAUUCUGUUUUGAUUAAAUUUGGAUAGACAAUUAUUAUUAUUAGUAUUAGCCUUCGUAUCUAGAUAAAUAUAAGGCAAUCUAUAAAUAGAAGUUUUUUUUCUGUUUUGACUACGUUUGGAUAAACAAUUAUUAUUAUUAGUAUCAUCCUUCAUAUCUAAAUAAAUAGAAGACAAUCUACGAAUAGAAGAAUUUUCAUUCUGUAGAAAAUUAUUAUUAUUAGUUCAGGAUUAAUACAUUUGAAAUGCCAUGUGAUAAAUGUGGUAAACGAUCGAUCCACACAUGAGGAAUAUAUCUAGACAUGGUUUAGUGUUAGAUACGUAAAUACCUUCGUAUUUAAUAAAUCUAAGCCAAUUUUUUGGGACGGAGGUAACAUAUAAAGAAGGGUCUCGCACUCAUGGGCAGAGCAGCACGGAGAGCAAAGUUGGCUUCCCUACGCAACGAUAACAAGGGUAGCUACCUCGCAAACCUGUGUGCACUCUGCAAGCAGUAGUCUCCAUAAUGUUGGCUUGCUGCUGCUUUGUUGUGUCCCAGCUGCUCAUCGUAAUAACGCUCAUAUACCUUGUCAUUACCAAGAGCAAGGUCUGAUGUGGCACGUGCUCAUCAGCGAUGGUGCCGCUUCCACUUCCGCCGGGGCCAUGGCUGUGGCCAGUGGUGGGUAGCCUGCCCGAGAUGGUGGUCAACAAGCCAGCGUUCCGUUGGAUCCAUCGCGUGAUGAAGGAUAUGGGCACCGACAUCGCCUACUUCCGCCUUGGCGGCGUCCACGUGGUCCCGAUCACAUGUCCCAAGAUCACAAGGGAGGUGCUCAAGAAGCAGGACAAAAACUUCUCAUCCCGCCCACUCACCUUCGCCUCCAGCGCCAUCAGCAGCGGGUACAAGGACGUCGUGCUCUCGCCGUUCGGCGACCAGUGGAUGAAGAUGUGCAAGGUGCUCACCUCUGAGAUCAUCUGCCCCUCCCGUCACAAAUGGCUCCAUGACAAGCGCGCCGACGAAGCUAACAACUUGACGCGCUACAUCUACAACCUCACCGCCGGGGAGUUGUCAUCUUCAACGUCGGGACUAGCCAACGUCAAUUUCAGGCACGUCGCGCGGCAUUACUGCGGCAACGUCAUCCGCCGGCUUGUCUUUGGCCAACGGUACUUCGGAGAGCCUCAGCCGAACGGCGGGCCGGGGCCAAUGGAGGUGGAGCACAUGGACGCUUCCUUCGCCCUCCUAGGGUUCACCUUCGCGUUCUGCGUCAGCGACUACCUCCCGUGUCUACUUGGCCUAGAUCUCGACGGCCACGAGAAAAUUAUUAAGGAGGCCAACACAAAAGUGGAUAGACUGCACGACGUGGUCAUCGAAGAGCGUUGGAGGCAGUGGAACAGCAGCGAGAGGCAGGACGGGGUCCAGGACUUCCUUGACGUUCUCAUCACGCUCGCCGACGGUGACGGCAAGCCGUUGCUCAACAUCGAUGAGGUCAAAGCACAAUAUAAGGUAAGCAAAUUAUUAAUUAAUGAGAAAUUUUAAGAUGGUUCAAGGGCCUAGAUUGAAUUUAGUGACCAAUUGCCUCAUAGUCCUACAAGGUACUAAUACGUCAUCCAUGACAAAAGGUAAUAGCUCACACUAUUAAAUACUAGAUCUUAUACCGUAUUUCGCAGGUGUUAGAAAAUGGAAACAAUAGAAUAAGAAAUUAUGAAUUAAUAGUUUAAACAUAGCAUUAUUGUAAUUUUCUACCAUUUUGAUGUGAUUUCAACUUGAAUUGUAUUUAAAUUUCCAAUUAUUCAAUGUAAUCUCUCUUUAUGCAAAGGUAUAGAUUGUAAUAACUUACAUUUAUCUCCAUGGAAUGCAUGCAGGGCAUAAUAUUAGCGGCCAUAGAUAACCCGUCAAACGCAGUGGAGUGGGCGCUGGCGGAGAUGGUGAACAACCUAGAAUUGCUGGCCAAGGCAGUGGAGGAGAUGGACCGGGUGGUCGGUCGCGAGCGACCGGUGCAAGAGUCAGACAUCAUGCAGCUCAACUAUCUCAAGGCGUGCAUACGUGAGGCAUUUCGCCUCCACCCAAUCGCUCCCUUCAACCUGCCGCACAUCGCGAUUGCAGACACCAUUGUUGCGGGCUACCGUGUGCCCAAGGGUAGCAACGUCAUCCUCAGCCGGCUGGCCCUGGGCCGGAACCCCACCGUCUGGGAUGAACUGCUCCGCUCCAAGCCAGAGCGCCAUAUGGGAGACAACAUCAAUGUGGUGCUCUUUGGCAGGCUCCUGCAUGGCUUCACCUGGACCAAACCGGCUGGGGUGUCGGCCAUCAAUCUCAGCGGGUCCAAGCACGACCUCUUCGUAGAGAAGCCGCUAGUGCUACAUGCUGAGCCACGUCUUCCAGUGCACCUCUACCCUCUCAUGCAUUGUUGAGCAAAUAACGAGCUAUGAAUCACCGAUAUGGCGAGUAUGCUAGCUAUUUUUUUAUGAAUCUAUACUUACUAAUAAAGGAAGGAAAUAUUCUUUUUU